rnacentral:rRNA from 1 species
UGCGGAGGGUGCGAGCGUUAAUCGGAAUUACUGGGCGUAAAGCGUACGCAGGCGGUUUGUUAAGCGAGAUGUGAAAGCCCCGGGCUCAACCUGGGAACUGCAUUUCGAACUGGCAAACUAGAGUGUGAUAGAGGGUGGUAGAAUUUCAGGUGUAGCGGUGAAAUGCGUAGAGAUCUGAAGGAAUACCGAUGGCGAAGGCAGCCACCUGGGUCAACACUGACGCUCAUGUACGAAAGCGUGAGGAGCAAACAGG